ensembl:lncRNA
CAUUGGGGUACAUGUAUCUUUUCAAAUUAUGGUUUGCCCUGGAUAGAUGCCCAGGAGUGGGACUGCUGAAUUAUAUGGUAGUUCUAUUUCUAGUUUUCUGAGGAACAUCCAUACUGUUUUCCAUAGUGACUGUGCAAAAUUUACAUUCCCACUGACAAUGUAGGGUCCACUUUCUCCACACCCUCUCCAGCAUUUAUUGUUUGUAGACUUUUUGAUGAUGGCCAUUCUGACCAGUAUGGGGUGAUACCUCUUUGUAGUUUUGAUUUGCAUUUCUCUAAUAAUUACCAAUGUUGAGCAUCUUUUCAUGUGCUUUUUGGCUACCUAUAUGUCUUCUUUGAAAAAAUGUCUAUUUAUAUCUGCUCAUUUUUUUAUUGGGAUGUUCGGAGAUUUUUGAUAUUGAGCUUCAUGAGUCGUUUGUACAUUUUAGAGGUUAAUCCCUUGUCAGUAAGUUCACUUGCAAAUAUUUUCUCCCAUUCUGUGAAUUGUUGUUUCAUUUUGCUUAUGGUUUCCUUUUCCUUUCCUUAAAACAAGCUUUUAAUUAGGCCCCAUUUGUUUAUUUUUGUUUUUAUUUUCAUUACUCUAAGAGGUGUAUCCAAAAAGGUAUUGGAGCAAUUUAUGUCAGAGAGUGUUCUGCCUAUGUUUUCUUCUGAGAGUUUUAUAGUAUCUUGUCUUACAUUUAGGUCUUUAAUCCAUUUUGAGUUUAUUUUUGUGUAUGGUAUUAGAGAAUGUUAUAAUUUCAUUCCUUCAUGGAGCUGUCCAGUUUUCCCAGCACCACUUAUUGAAGGAACUGUCUUUUAUCCACUGUACAUUCUUGCCUCCUCUGCCAUAGAUUAAUUGACCACAUGUGCAUGGGUUUAUUUCUGGGCUUUCCAUCCUGCUCCAUUGAUCUAUAUUUGCUUUUGUGCCAGUACUAUAUUGUUUUGAUUACUAUAGCUUUGUAGUUUAGUCUGAGGACAGGGAGCCUGAUUCACCACCCACACAUACCCACCUCCGUUUUCCUUUCUCAGAAUUACUUUGGCUAUUUGGGGUCUUUUGUGUUUCCAUACAAUUUUGAAAAUAUUUUACUGUAGUUCUGUGAAGAGUACCAUUGGUAAUUUGAUAGGGAUUGCACUCAAUCUGUAGAUUGCCUGGGAUAGUAUAGUCAUUUUGAUAAUAUUGAUUCUUCCAAUCCAAAACAUAGUGUCUUUCUAUCUGUGUCAUUUUCUAUUUCUUUCUUCAGUAUCUUAUAGUUUUCAGAGUAUAGAUCAUUUGCUUCCUUAGGUAUGUUUAUUCCCAGGUAUUUUAUUCUUUUUGAUGCAAUGAUAAAUGGGGUUGUUUCUUUUUUUUCUUUUUUCUUUCUAGGGCCACACCCAUGGCAUAUGGAGUUUCCUAGGCUAGGGGUCGAAUCAGAGCUGUAGCUGCUAGCCUACACCAUAGCCACAGCAACAUCAGAUCCAAGCCAUGUCUGCGACCUACAGUUCGUGGCAAUUCUGGAUCCUUAACCUACUGAGCAGAGCCAGGGCUCGAACCUGCAUCCUCAUGGAUGCUAGUCCGAUUCGUUUCCCCUGAGCCAUGACGGGAACUCCUGGGAUUGUUUCCUUAAUUUCUCUUUCUGAUCUUUCAUUGUUGGUGUAUAGGAAUGCAAGAGAUUUCUGUGUAUUAAUUUUGUAUUAUACAACCCUACUGAAUUCAUUGAUGAGCUCUAGUAGUUUUCUGGUAGCAUCUUUAGGAUUUGCUAGGUAUAGUAUCAUAUCUGCAAACAAUGACUGUUUUACUUCUUUUCCAGUUUGAACUCCUUUUAUUUCUUUUUCUUCUCUGAUUUUCAUGGCUAGGACUUCCAAAACUCUGUUGAAUAAAAAUGGUAAGAGUGAAUAUCCUCAUCUUGUUUCCAAUCUUAGAGGAAAUUCUUUCAGGUUUUCACCAUUGACAAUGAUGUUAGCUAUGGGUUUGUCAUAUAUGGCCUUUAUUAUGUUGACGUAGGUUCCCUCUGCUCACUUUCUGGAAGGUUUUUUUUUUUUUUAUCAUAAAUGAGGUUAAAUUUUGUCAAAAGCUUUUUCUGCACCUAUUGAGAUGAUCAUAUACUUUUGAUCCUCCAAUUUGUUAAUGUGGUAUAUCACACUGACAUACUGAAAAAUCCUUGCAUCACUGGGAUAAAUCCCUCUUGAUCAUGGUGUAUGAUCCCUUUAAUGUAUUGCUGGAUUCAGUUUGCUAGUAUUUUGUUGAGGAUUUUUGCAUCUAUGUUCAUCAGUGAUUUAGCCUGUAACUUUCUUUGUUUAUAGUAUUUUUGUAUGAUUUAAGUAUCAGGGUGAUGUUGGCAACAGAGCUUUAUCCUUUCUUUUCUUUCUUUUUUAAGUCAAGACUCUACAGUGGGAACCUGGUUAUAACUCUGGCUGUAAAGGUAAGGAUUUCAAUAACAUUCUCAAAACUGGAGCCAGGAGGAGCCUAUGUUGUCAUCUGACACCCCUCCCACUGAUACAAGCCAGAGAAAGGACUUGCUAAGAUGGUUUGGUGAUGAGGAAGCUGGGACUCGAAUUCAGAUUUCCUGACUUCUGCUCCAGAACACUUCCCAAUUACAGUGGGACCUAAGGAGAAUAACUUCCUCAUUGAAUGAAGUCCAUGCUGCCCCUUCCCAUGCACUUAUUUCCCAAUAGGGAGAAAUAGAGCAAUCACAAAGCACAGCCUUGGGUUAGGGUUCACUGAAAGGGCCACCUGACAUUCAUGAAGCAAAUUCCAGUUUAUAUGGCAUUUUCAUACUUGUCAUUGUGUUUAAUCUUUGUAAGAACCAGGAAGACAAGGCAGGUCAUAUUAAAAUCCCCUUGUCAGAUGAGGAAAUAGGCACAGAGGAGUUAAGUGACCUUCCCAUGUUUAUUUGGGCCCUAGGAAAACCAAAAGGCAGGAGAACCCCCCACCCCCACCCCGGGUGCCCAGAAAUCCCUGUUUGGGAACCUCCCUUUGAAAAUGCAGAGAACAAACCCUGAAAGAACAAGGCCCUCACAGUGCUGGACCUUGGGUGUCUCAAGAGGAGCCUAGAAAUCCAACUAGGAACCAUGAGGUUGCAGUUACGAUCCUUUGCCUCGCUCAGUGGGUAAGGAUCCAGCAUUGCUGUGAGCUGUGGUGUAGGUUGCAGAUAUGACUCAGAUCUGGCAUUGCUGCGACUGUGGUGUAAGCCAGCAGCUGUAGCUCCAGUUUGAUCCCUGGCCUGGGAACCUCCAUAUGCCA